CAGGGUUGGGAAACUGUGUAGUGUUGGGGGUACUCAAGGACCAGGGUUGGGAAACUGUGUAGUGUUGGGGGUACUGGAGGACCAGGGUUGGGAAACUGUGUAGUGUUGGGGGUACUAAAGGACCCGGGUUGGGUAACUGUGUAGUGUUGUGGGUACGAAAGGACCAGGGUUGGGAAACUGUGUAGUGUUGGGGGUACUCAAGGACCAGGGUUGGGAAACUGUGUAGUGUUGGGGGUACUGGAGGACCAGGGUUGGGAAACUGUAUAUUGUUGGGGGUACUGGAAGACCAGGGUUGGGAAACUGUGUAGUGUUGGGGGUACUGGAAGGUCAGAGUUGGGAAACUGUGUAGUGUUGUGGGAACUUUAGGACCAGGGUUGGGAAACUGUGUAGUGUUGGGGUUACGGGAGGACCAGGGUUGGGAAACCUUGUACUGUUGGGGGUACUGAAGGACCAGGGUUGGGAAACUGUGUAGUUUUGGGGGUACUGGAGGACCAGGGUUGGGAAACUGUGUAGUGUUGGGGUUACGGGAGAACCAGGGUUGGGAAACCUUGUACUGUU
ensembl:lncRNA